CCCUGUCCAAGGCUCUUUUCACAUUGUGCUUCUGUCUGUGCCCGACCCAAGCAGUGCAAUGUUAAAAGGGCAUUGGGUGGGUG
rnacentral:pre_miRNA from 11 species